UCAGGACGAACGCUGGCGGCGUGCUUAACACAUGCAAGUCGAACGAUGAAGCCCAGCUUGCUGGGUGGAUUAGUGGCGAACGGGUGAGUAACACGUGAGCAACGUGCCCAUAACUCUGGGAUAACCUCCGGAAACGGUGGCUAAUACUGGAUAUCUAACAUGAUCGCAUGGUCUGUGUUUGGAAAGAUUUUUUGGUUAUGGAUCGGCUCACGGCCUAUCAGCUUGUUGGUGAGGUAAUGGCUCACCAAGGCGACGACGGGUAGCCGGCCUGAGAGGGUGACCGGCCACACUGGGACUGAGACACGGCCCAGACUCCUACGGGAGGCAGCAGUGGGGAAUAUUGCACAAUGGGCGAAAGCCUGAUGCAGCAACGCCGCGUGAGGGAUGACGGCCUUCGGGUUGUAAACCUCUUUUAGUAGGGAAGAAGCGAAAGUGACGGUACCUGCAGAAAAAGCACCGGCUAACUACGUGCCAGCAGCCGCGGUAAUACGUAGGGUGCAAGCGUUGUCCGGAAUUAUUGGGCGUAAAGAGCUCGUAGGCGGUUUGUCGCGUCUGCUGUGAAAUCCCGAGGCUCAACCUCGGGUCUGCAGUGGGUACGGGCAGACUAGAGUGUGGUAGGGGAGAUUGGAAUUCCUGGUGUAGCGGUGGAAUGCGCAGAUAUCAGGAGGAACACCGAUGGCGAAGGCAGAUCU
rnacentral:rRNA from 1 species